rnacentral:rRNA from 1 species
CUACGGGACGCUGCAGUGGGGAAUAUUGCACAAUGGGCGCAAGCCUGAUGCAGCCAUGCCGCGUGUAUGAAGAAGGCCUUCGGGUUGUAAAGUACUUUCAGCGGGGAGGAAGGGAGUAAAGUUAAUACCUUUGCUCAUUGACGUUACCCGCAGAAGAAGCACCGGCUAACUCCGUGCCAGCAGCCGCGGUAAUAGGAGGGUGCAAGCGUUAAUCGAAAUUACUGGGCGUAAAGCGCACGCAGGCGGUUUGUUAAGUCAGAUGUGAAAUCCCCGGGCUCAACCUGGGAACUGCAUCUGAUACUGGCAAGCUUGAGUCUCGUAGAGGGGGGUAGAAUUCCAGGUGUAGCGGUGAAAUGCGUAGAGAUCUGGAGGAAUACCGGUGGCGAAGGCGGCCCCCUGGACGAAGACUGACGCUCAGGUGCGAAAGCGUGGGGAGCAAACAGGAUUAGAUACCCUGGUAGUC